rnacentral:rRNA from 1 species
GGGUCAGUAGGUUGGUCGUGCCACCGGUACGUACUGGUCUCACUGAUUCCUCCUUCCUGAAGAACCGUAAUGCCAUUAAUUUGGUGUUGCGGGGAAACAGGACUGUUACUUGGAAAAAAUUAGAGUGUUUAAAGCAAGCUAACGCUUGAUUACCUUAGCAUGGAAUAAUGAAAUAGGACGAUCGAUCCUAUUUUGUUGGUUUCUAGGAUUGACGUA